ensembl:lncRNA
GGACUUAAGUUUUUUUUCCUUCAAGUUCUGGAUAUUUUAACUGAACUUUUGCUUUUUUUGAGAUUCCACUUAUAGUAAUGCUAAUUCUCUUUCAGCUCCUGGAUUCCCUUCCAAUCAUUUGUAACACAGGAAGACUUUCCCAAUCUCUGAAGAUUUUCUGUCUUCCGUCUUUCCAUCUGAGAUGCCUUUUCUCCAGCCUCUGGAACUUUUGCAUCCGGGGUCAUGCCUGAAGCCAAAGUCAGGUUCAUUGUGUAUUUUUCUGAAAAUAAGAAAGAAGAAGAAGGAGAAGGAGAAGGGGAAGGAGAAGAGGAGGAGGAGGAGAAAGAAGAAAGGGAAGGGAAGAAGAGACGAGGAGAGGGAGGCAGAGGAAGAAGAAGGAGAAGAAAAGGAGAAGAAUGAGAGGAGGAAGGAAAAGAGAAGAAAGAAGAAGAAGAAAGAAGAAGGAGAAGAAGAAGGAGGAGGAGGAGAAGGAAGAAGAAGAAAUAAUUUAUAGUCCUGCUUCUUAGAGUUUACCCUUACUAAUAACUUGACAUAUUUUCCUAGGGUUUUGACUACGUAAGUAUAUACUUUAAAAAAGGGGAAAUUAUGAAAUUAUAUUGUACAUCUUGUUUUAUAACCUAAUUUUUCACAUUAAUAAUUAAUCAAGAAUAUUUUUCCUUGAUGUUAAAGAUCCAUCACAUUACUUUCAAAGAUUGCAUAAUCUUUUACACUGAGAACAGAUUACAGUUUAUAUAAAUUGUUUUCAAGGUUUUUUUUUUUUUUUUUUUUUUAAGAUACACAGGUAUCAGUGAAUAGUCUUUAGCUGAGGCUAAAUCUUUGUAGAUUUCUGUGAUCAUUUCUUCAGGGCAUAUUCUUAGAAGCGAAAU